UCCAUGGAAAUGGGGAAUGUUACAACUGUCUGAGAAUUCAUCUUGGAGGGGUUUCCUGCCAUCCAACACCUGGGAAAGAUCCUCUUCCUGUUGCACCUGCUGGCUUACCUGGCAUCCAUUGCAGGCAAUGCUGUCAUAAUGACCAUCACCUGUGCUGACCCUGACUCCACACACCUAUGUACUUUUUCCUCAGCAUUUUCUCCUUCUUGGAGUGUGGUGUCAUAAGUGCUGUUAUUCCUAAGUUGCUGGUCAUCUUUCUCUUAGGCAAGCAAACCAUUUCCUUUCUUGCCUGUUUGAUACAAGCAUUUGUCUUUUUAUUUCUGGGAUCGGCAGUUUUCUUCCUCACAGCAGUGAUGUCUCUGGAUCGGUACGUGGCCAUUUGCAAGCCUCUGCAUUACCUGACCAUCAUGAACCUGAAGACUUGCUUCCUCCUGGUCACUGCCUGCUUCGCUUUGGCCUUCCCUCUCAUCACUGGUCUGGUAGUAAAGGUUUCCCAGUUAUCCUUCUGUGGCCCCCAUGUCAUCCCCCACUUCUUCUGUGACCUUGGCCCCCUGAUUCAUCUCUCCUGUUCUGACUUCAGGUCUGUUGAUAUGUUGGCCUUUGUCCUCACUUCCUUUAUCCUUUUGACAUCCCUUAUCAUAACCAUCAUUGCCUACAGCAACAUAAUAGUCAUGAUCAUGCGACUCCCAUCAGCAAAGGAGAAACAGAAAGCUUUCUCCACCUGCUCUUCUCACCUCAUAGUCCUCUCUCUGAUGUAUGGCAGCUGUGUGUUUAUAUAUGUGAAACCAAAGCAAAGGAACAGGCUGGUCUCCAACAGGGAGGCUGCCCUUGUGAACACGGUGGUGACCCCACUGCUCAACCCCAUCAUCUAUACACUACAGAACAAGCAGGUCCACCAGGCUCUGAGGGAGACAAUGUGCAGAAUGAAAAUAUCAAGAUAA